CUAUCCUUCCAGCAUUCAGGUGUUCGCAAGAACACAAGAGGGAACCCCGUGCGAUUCGGGGACGGGCCCGCCGCUGUGACCGGGGACGAACGCUGCACCUUAAGUCACUGACCUUGAGAAAAGGUCGGGAAGACGCAGUCAGUAGGAUGAGCCGGAAGCCAGAAGACCUGCCUGAAUGGAUGUUUGGAG
rnacentral:ncRNA from 2 species